rnacentral:rRNA from 5 species
CGCGACCCCAGGUCAGGCGGGACUACCCGCUGAGU